rnacentral:rRNA from 1 species
AUUGAACGCUGGCGGCAGGCUUAACACAUGCAAGUCGAACGAGUGGCGGACGGGUGAGUAAUGCAUUGGAACCUGGCUAAUGGAGGGGGAUAACUACGGGAAACCUUGGCUAAUACCGCUUACUAUAGGAUCGGCCGACGUUGGAUUAGGUAGUUGGUGAGGUAAAGGCUCACCAAGCCGACGAUCUCUAGCUGGUCUGAGAGGGUGACCAGCCACACUGGGACUGAGACACGGCCCAGACUCCUACGGGAGGCAGCAGUGGGGAAUAUUGCGCAAUGGGGGAAACCUGACGCAGCCAUGCCGCGUGAAUGAAGAAGGCCUUCGGGUUGUAAAGUUCUUUUGGUAGAGAAGCGGUAACUAAAGAAGAAGCACCGGCUAACUACGUGCCAGCAGCCGCGGUAAUAC